UCCCUGAUGGCUCAGUGGUGAAGAACCUGCCUGCAAUGCAGGAGACUCGGGUUCUAUCUCUUGGUCAGGAAA
rnacentral:tRNA from 1 species